UACGAGCUGCGCGAACGUUAUUCGGAAUCACUGGGCUUACAGGGUGCGUAGGCGGCUCGUCAGGUCCGAUGUGAAAUCCCCCGGCUCAACCGGGGAAUGGCAUUGGAAACCGGCGAGCUCGAGUGAGCUAGAGGUGCACGGAACUUCCGGUGGAGCGGUGAAAUGUGUUGAGAUCGGAAGGAACGCCAGAGGCGAAAGCGGUGCACUGGGGCUUGUCUGACGCUGAGGCACGAAAGCCAGGGGAGCGAACAGG
rnacentral:rRNA from 1 species